rnacentral:rRNA from 1 species
GCCUACGGGGGGCAGCAGUCGGGAAUAUUGCGCAAUGGAGGAAACUCUGACGCAGUGACGCCGCGUAUAGGAAGAAGGUUUUCGGAUUGUAAACUAUUGUCGAUAGGGAAGAAAAAAGACUGUACCUAUCAAGAAAGCUCCGGCUAACUACGUGCCAGCAGCCGCGGUAAUACGUAGGGGGCAAGCGUUAUCCGGAUUUACUGGGUGUAAAGGGAGCGUAGGCGGCAGUGCAAGUCAGAAGUGAAAGCCCGGGGCUCAACUCCGGGACUGCUUUUGAAACUGUACAGCUUGAUUGCAGGAGAGGG